rnacentral:rRNA from 1 species
CUCGUAGGCGGCCAACUAAGUCAUACGUGAAAUCCCUCAGCUUAACUGGGGAACUGCGUGUGAUACUGGAUGGCUUGGAUUUGGGAGAGGGAUGCGGAAUUCCAGGUGCAGCGGUGAAAUGCGUAGAUAUCUGGAGGAACACCGGUGGCGAAGGCGGCAUCCUGGACCAAUAUUGACGCUGAGGAGCGAAAGCUGGGGGAGCAAACG